rnacentral:rRNA from 1 species
GACGAACGCUGGCGGCGUGCCUAAUACAUGCAAGUCGACCUUAGUGGCGGACGGGUGAGUAAUGCCUAGGAAUCUGCCUGGUAGUGGGGGAUAACGUCCGGAAACGGGCGCUAAUACCGCAUACUAUCAGAUGAGCCUAGGUCGGAUUAGCUAGUUGGUGGGGUAAAGGCCUACCAAGGCGACGAUCCGUAACUGGUCUGAGAGGAUGAUCAGUCACACUGGAACUGAGACACGGUCCAGACUCCUACGGGAGGCAGCAGUGGGGAAUAUUGGACAAUGGGCGCAAGCCUGAUCCAGCCAUACCGCGUGGGUGAAGAAGGCCUUCGGGUUGUAAAGCCCUUUUGUUGGGAAAGCGGUACCCAAAGAAUAAGCACCGGCUAACUUCGUGCCAGCAGCCGCGGUAAUUC